UACGGAGGGGGCUAGCGUUGUUCGGAAUUACUGGGCGUAAAGCGCACGUAGGCGGCUUUGCAAGUCAGAGGUGAAAGCCCGGGGCUCAACCCCGGAAUUGCCUUUGAGACUGCAUCGCUAGAAUUGUGGAGAGGUAAGUGGAAUUCCGAGUGUAGAGGUGAAAUUCGUAGAUAUUCGGAAGAACACCAGUGGCGAAGGCGACUUACUGGACACAUAUUGACGCUGAGGUGCGAAAGCGUGGGGAGCAAACGGG
rnacentral:rRNA from 1 species